rnacentral:lncRNA from 1 species
UUUAUUUUGAACAAAAACAUAUUCAUAUAUUUUAUUCUCAAUGAAUUCUAAUUGUUAAAUUAUUCAUAUUUUAUUUAUUGACGCAAACAUUUGAAUUCAGUUUGGGCAAACAGCCCUAAACCCCUGCCCACACCACCCCCACCCAAACAUGUGCACAGAAAUGAGAGUUUAAGAGAGUUCUCGUGGCAAAAGAGAGCUUUUGGCGCUCUCUUCGGUCGCUUUUCUCGCGUGGCGCUCACACAGGGUGCCUCGUGUUCAGAAAUUGAAGCUGCGGUUUGGUCGCUUUGGUCGCUCCAGCUAAAAUGAUGUUGGUAAAUAAAUCAAUUGAGAAUUAAUUUGAAUACUAAAUUGUGUCCAGCUGCAAGGUGAAUCGCGCAUAUCGAAUACUCUAAUUAAGCCAUCUCUCCUUUCGACUUUGGGUGCCAUUUCGCCAUUCGAAUGGAUAACAAAUCAGUCGGUGGCUCAGCCAGUGGCCGCUUGCGAAAUCGCGACAGGCCAUAAAGUUGGCAAGCGAUGAGUUUAUUAGCCGACAACUGACGUCCCACCAGCACAGUUCCCGCCCCGCUGCGGUCUUCGAUUGGGAUUGCAUCGUAAAUAACCGCUCGCUGGGGCUGGUGAGCCGGGGUCCCCCGGCCAGUUCCCCUCAUCUCAGCCACAGCGUGCACGCAUCCAUCGAUGGCGAUGAUGACGAUUAUGUGGAUGGAGCAAUGUAGAUGUCCUUGAUGAGGAAGAUUGUCGAUUAUGGCCCCCCAACCGAAAUUUUGCAUGCAGCAGCAGCUCUCAGGUUGGCAAGGAGCAGGGCCGGGCCGGGCCAGGAUCCGGCAGGAACUAAUGGAAGAAUUUCGCGAUGUCACGAGCAUGAGUUAUGGUUAAGUGCACUUUUCGGGCUGCCUUGUCCCAAAACCACCGAACACCCACCAGCACCCCCGCUCUACCCCCUCCUCCGUUCGUUUCCCCGCCCGAUGACGCUAUGUUUGUGUCUAAAUGCAAAUUUUGUGUAAUGAACAUCGAGCACAUGGAGUGGCAUGGGAGGGUCCAUUAUACCCUUACC